rnacentral:rRNA from 1 species
AUUGAACGCUGGCGGCAGGCCUAACACAUGCAAGUCGAACGAGUGGCGGACGGGUGAGUAAUGUCUGGGAACCUGCCUGAUGGCGGGGGAUACCUACUGGAAACGGUAGCUAAUACCGCAUACCAUCGGAUGUGCCCAGAUGGGAUUAGCUAGUAGGUGGGGUAAAGGCUCACCUAGGCGACGAUCCCUAGCUGGUCUGAGAGGAUGACCAGCCACACUGGAACUGAGACACGGUCCAGACUCCUACGGGAGGCAGCAGUGGGGAAUAGUGCACAAUGGGCGAAAGCCUGAGGCAGCCAGGCCGCGGGUAUGAAGAAGGCCGUCGGGUUGUAAAGUACGUUCAGCGGGGAGGCGUUACCCGCAGAAGAAGCACCGGCUAACUCCGUGCCAGCAGCCGCGGUAAUAC